UACGUAGGGGGCAAGCGUUGUCCGGAAUUAUUGGGCGUAAAGAGCUCGUAGGCGGUCUGUUACGUCCGGUGUGAAAACCCAGGGCUUAACCCUGGGCUUGCAGUGGAUACGGGUAGACUAGAGGCAGGUAGGGGAGAAUGGAAUUCCCGGUGUAGCGGUGAAAUGCGCAGAUAUCGGGAGGAACACCGGUGGCGAAGGCGGUUCUCUGGGCCUGACCUGACGCUGAGGAGCGAAAGCGUGGGGAGCGAACAGG
rnacentral:rRNA from 1 species